rnacentral:rRNA from 1 species
UUUGCCUGUAAGACUGGGAUAACUCCGGGAAACCGGAGCUAAUACCGGAUAGUUCCUUGAACCGCAUGGUUAAAGGAUGAAAGACGGUUUCGGCUGUCACUUACAGAUGGACCCGCGGCGCAUUAGCUAGUUGGUGGGGUAAUGGCUCACCAAGGCGACGAUGCGUAGCCGACCUGAGAGGGUGAUCGGCCACACUGGGACUGAGACACCCAGACUCCUAGUCACGGGAGGCAGCAGUAGGGAAUCUUCCGCAAUGGACGAAAGUCUGACGGAGCAACGCCGCGUGAGUGAUGAAGGUUUUCGGAUCGUAAAGCUCUGUUGUUAGGGAAGAACAAGUGCGAGAGUAACUGCUCGCACCUUGACGGUACCUAACCAGAAAGCCACGGCUAACUACGUGCCAGCAGCCGCGGUCGUAGGUGGCAAGCGUUGUCCGGAAUUAUUGGGCGUAAAGGGCUCGCAGGCGGUUUCUUAAGUCUGAUGUGAAAGCCCCCGGAACCGGGGAGGGUUGGGAAACUUGAGUGCAGAAGAGGAGAGUGGAAUUCCACGUUGUAUGUAGCGGUGAAAUGCGUAGAGAUGUGGAGGAACACCAGUGGCGAAGGCGACUCUCUGGUCUGUAACUGACGCUGAGGAGCGAAAGCGUGGGGAGCGAACAGGAUUAGAUACCCUGGUAGUCCACGCCGUAAACGAUGAGUGCUAAGUGUUAGGGGGUUUCCGCCCCUUAGUGCUGCAGCUAACGCAUUAAGCACUCCGCCUGGAGUAACUGUACGGUCGCAAGACUGAAACUCAAAGGAAUUGACGGGGGCCCGCACAAGCGGUGGAGCAUGUGGAUUCCAUUGGAAACGAAGCAACGCGAAGAACCUUACCAGGUCUUGACAUCCUCUGACAACCCUAGAGAUAGGGCUUUCCCUUCGGGGACGUGACAGGUGGUGCAUGGUUGUCGUCAGCUCGUGUCGUGAGAUGUUGGGUUAAGUCCCGCAACGAGCGCAACCCUUGAUCUUAGUUGCCAGCAUUCAGUGCACUCUAAGGUGACUGCCGGUGACAUUGUCAAACCGGAGGAAGGUGGGGAUGACGUCAAAUCAUCAUGCCCCUUAUGACCUGGGCUACACACGUGCUAUUGUCAACAAUGGACAGAACAAAGGGAGACCGCAAGGUUUAGCCAAUCCCAUAAAUCUGUUCUCAGUUCGGAUCGCAGUCUGCAACUUGACUGCGUGAAGCUAAUGUCGGACGCUAGUAAGGCU